rnacentral:rRNA from 1 species
GACGAACGCUGGCGGCGUGCUUAACACAUGCAAGUCGAGCGGUAAGGCCCUUUCGGGGGUACACGAGCGGCGAACGGGUGAGUAACACGUGGGUGACCUGCCCUCAGCUCUGGGAUAAGCCUGGGAAACCGGGUCUAAUACUGGAUAUGACUCCAUGACGCAUGUUGUGGGGUGGAAAGCCUUGUGCGGCUGAGGAUGGGCCCGCGGCCUAUCAGCUUGUUGGUGGGGUGAGGCCUACCAAGGCGACGACGGGUAGCCGGCCUGAGAGGGCGACCGGCCACACUGGGACUGAGACACGGCCCAGGACUCCUACGGGAGGCAGCAGUGGGAAUCUUGCGCAAUGGGCGAAAGCCUGACGCAGCGACGCCGCGUGAGGGAUGACGGCCUCGGUUGUAAC